GCCAGGCAUGGUGGCAUGUGCCUGUAGUCCCAGCUACAGGGAGGCUGAGGUGGGAGGAUUGUUUGACCCCAGGAGUUCGAGGCUGCAGUGAGCUGUGUUUGUGUCGCUGCACUCCAGCCUGGGGGACAAAGCAAAACUUCGUCUCUU
rfam:Pan troglodytes isolate Yerkes chimp pedigree #C0471 (Clint) chromosome 3, whole genome shotgun sequence.